CCCUUAGAUGUUCUGGGCUGCACCCGUGCUACACUGGCAGGUUCAGCGAGCUUCAUGCCCUGAUCUGAAAGGAAUGGGAAAUCUUUUCAAAACCUGUCGUGCUUGGGAUAGAUGUUUGCAAUUAUUCAUCUUCAACGAGGAUUGCCUUGUAAGCGCACGUCAUCAGCGUGCAUUGAAUACGACCCUGUAUUCUGUACACACCGCCCGUCGCUCCUACCGAUUGAAGUUUUCGGUGAGUUGACAGGAGGAUUUUUUUGAAACUGGUUCGCCAGUGGAUUUUAGAUCCAAAUGCCAACGAAUCGAUGGCUUUAGAGGAAGGAGAAGUCGUAACA
rnacentral:rRNA from 1 species